AUCCAGCCGAUUAGUCCCAAAUAAGACUAAACGCCGCGUCCUUGAU
rfam:Schistosoma curassoni strain Dakar, Senegal genome assembly, scaffold: SCTD_scaffold0010029